GUCCAGACUCCUACGGGAGGCAGCAGUGGGGGAUAUUGCACAAUGGGGGAAACCCUGAUGCAGCGACGCCGCGUGAGUGAAGAAGUAUUUCGGUAUGUAAAGCUCUAUCAGCAGGGAAGAAAAAAGACGGUACCUGACUAAGAAGCCCCGGCUAACUACGUGCCAGCAGCCGCGGUAAUACGUAGGGGGCAAGCGUUAUCCGGAUUUACUGGGUGUAAAGGGGGCGCAGACGGCAGCGCAAGCCAGGAGUGAAAGCCCGGGGCCCAACCCCGGGACUGCUCUUGGAACUGCGCGGCUGGAGUGCAGGAGGGGCAGGCGGAAUUCCUGGUGUAGCGGUGAAAUGCGUAGAUAUUAGGAGGAACACCAGUGGCGAAGGCGGCUUACUGGACGAUGACUGACGCUGAGGCUCGAAAGCGUGGGGAGCAAACAGGAUUAGAUACCCCCGUACGG
rnacentral:rRNA from 1 species